AACGAACGCUGGCGGCAUGCCUAACACAUGCCAGUCGAACGAGACCUUCGGGUCUAGUGGCGCACGGGUGCGUAACGCGUGGGAACCUGCCCUUAGGUUCGGAAUAACUCCCCGAAAGGGGUGCUAAUACCGGAUAAUGUCUUCGGACCAAAGAUUUAUCGCCUUUGGAUGGGCCCGCGUUGGAUUAGCUAGUUGGUAGGGUAAAAGCCUACCAAGGCGACGAUCCAUAGCUGGUCUGAGAGGAUGAUCAGCCACACUGGGACUGAGACACGGCCCAGACUCCUACGGGAGGCGGCAGUGGGGAAUAUUGGACAAUGGGCGAAAGACUGAAACAGCAAUGCCGCGUGAGUGAUGAAGGCCUUAGGGUUGUAAAGCUCUUUUACCCGGGAUGAUAAUAACAGUACCGGGAGAAUAAGCUCCGGCUAACUCCGUG
rnacentral:rRNA from 1 species